ensembl:snRNA
GUGUUGUACGAAAGGAGAGAGGGUUAGCACUCCCUUGACAAGGAUUGUAGGACCCCAAAAGCGGUGUCCUCUUGU